rnacentral:rRNA from 1 species
GAUGAACGCUGGCGGCGUGCUUAACACAUGCAAGUCGAACGGACAGGCCCUGCUUUUGCGUCGUGCUCGUGAGCCGAACGGGUGUGUAUCACGUGUGUAUCCUGUCCUUGUCUUUGGGAUAUCUUUUCGAGAAUGCGGAUCUUACACGAUAGGAUAUCUUGCAGCGCGGUGGGGAUUGGUGAGUUUCGGCGGUUGGGGAUCGACUCGAGGCUUAUCAGCUUGUUGGUGUGGUUGUGGCUUACCAAGGUUAUGAAGGGUAGCCGGCCUGGGAGGGUGACCGGCCACAUUGGGACUGAGAUACGGCCCAGACUCCUACGGGAGGCAGCAGUGGGGAAUAUUGCACAAUGGGCGGAAGCCUGAUGCAGCAACGCCGCGUGCGGGAUGACGGCCUUCGGGUUGUAAACCGCUUUCGCCUGUGACGAAGCGUGAGUGACGGUAAUGGGUAAAGAAGCACCGGCUAACUACGUG